rnacentral:rRNA from 1 species
ACGGCUCAGUAACACGUGGACAACCUGCCCUUAGGUUGGGUAUAAACCCGGGAAACUGGGUAUAAUACCCGAUAGGUCUCGAUUGCUGGAAUGCAUCGAGAUUUAAAGCUCCGGCGCCUAAGGAUGGGUCUGCGGCCUAUCAGGUAGUAGUGGGUGUAGCGUACCUACUAGCCUACGACGGGUACGGGUUGUGAGAGCAAGAGCCCGGAGAUGGAUUCUGAGACACGAAUCCAGGCCCUACGGGGUGCAGCAGGCGCGAAAACUUUACAAUGCUGGCAACAGCGAUAAGGGAACCUCGAGUGCCAGGUUACAAAUCUGGCUGUCGAGAUGCCUAAAAAGCAUUUCAUAGCAAGGGCCGGGCAAGACCGGUGCCAGCCGCCGCGGUAACACCGGCGGCUCGAGUGGUAACCGUUAUUAUUGGGUCUAAAGGGUCUGUAGCCGGCCGGAUAAGUCUCUUGAGAAAUCUGGCAGCUUAACUGUCAGGCUUUCAGGAGAUACUGUCUGGCUCGAGGCCGGGAGAGGUGAGAGGUACUUCAGGGGUAGGGGUGAAAUCUUGUAAUCCUUGAAGGACCACCAGUGGCGAAGGCGUCUCACCAGAACGGACCUGACGGCAAGGGACGAAAGCUAGGGGCACGAACCGGAUUAGAUACCCGGGUAGUCCUAGCCGUAAACGAUACUCGCUAGGUGUCGGCCACGGUGCGACCGUUGUCGGUGCCGUAGGGAAGCCGUGAAGCGAGCCACCUGGGAAGUACGGCCGCAAGGCUGAAACUUAAAGGAAUUGGCGGGGGAGCACCACAACGGGUGGAGCUUGCGGUUUAAUUGGAGUCAACGCCGGA